rnacentral:rRNA from 1 species
UCGGGAAUUUUGGGCAAUGGGGGAAACCCUGACCCAGCAACGCCGCGUGAGUGAAGAAGGCCUUCGGGUUGUAAAGCUCUUUUACCAGGGACGAUAAUGACGGUACCUGGAGAAUAAGCCCCGGCAAACUUCGUGCCAGCAGCCGCGGUAAUACGAAGGGGGCUAGCGUUGUUCGGAAUUACUGGGCGUAAAGCGCACGUAGGCGGAUUGUUAAGUCAGAGGUGAAAUCCCGGAGCUCAACUUCGGAACUGCCUUUGAUACUGGCAAUCUCGAGUCCGGAAGAGGUUAGUGGAAUUCCCAGUGUAGAGGUGAAAUUCGUAGAUAUUGGGAAGAACACCAGUGGCGAAGGCGGCUCACUGGACUCAUACUGACACUGAGGCACGAAAGCGUGGGGAGCAAACAGGAUUAGAUACCCAUGUAGUCCCUGAGCGGGCUGGCAAGGCGCAU